AGCUUUGCGCAGUGGCAGUAUCGUAGCCAAUGAGGUUUAUCCGAGGUGCGAUUAUUGCUAAUUGAAAGGAAUUGACACUUUUGCUAAGACCUCAGGAUAAGUGUGCUAGAGAAAGAAGCUAGAAGAAAGAACAAAGAGUUUU